CCCAGGUUGGUGUAAUGGUUAACAUCGCGAUUGACACUCAGGGAAACCUGAGCCCUUCGGGGGCCGCAGCUCUGGCGUUCGAAUCCCAGACCUGGGA